ensembl:snRNA U6 U6 spliceosomal RNA
AUGCUUACUUAGGCAGCACAUAUACUAAAACUGGAAUGAUACAGAGAAGAUUAGCAUGACCCCUGAGCAACGAUGACCCUUAAAUUUGUGAAGCGGUCCAUAUUUUU